CCGGUCUUCAGGAGCACGCCAAAGAAGUCUGAUGAUUUGCAUACUCUGGAUUGAUCUUUUACAGAUAUUGAGGUUUUACCCUCUACAACAGAGCUUGAACGGUUUGCAAAGUUGGGUUUAGGUAGACCAGUGCAGGAAACAUCUGGGACAGGAACCCAAAGAUCAAAAAUUCCACUAAAUUGGACUCUGUCUGAAUUAAAUAACUUUGUCUGCCAGUGCUACCCAAAUGUGAGUUUAAACUUAAUAGGUUUCCAUUUGGCAAGAGCAGGCAAAGGACGCAAGAUCCAAAAAGUUCAUGUAAAUUCUAUGAGGGAUUUAAAAAAAGCAGUUGGCAAAAGCAGGCUCUGUAUUGUCCCACGAGCUGAAGUUUUGCAGG